GGCUCAGUAACACGUGGCCAACCCACCCUCAGGACGAACACAACCCCGGGAAACUGGGGCUAACGUUCGAUAGGCGAAGACUCCUGGAACGGGUCUUCACCCAAAAGGUACUAGGAUCAUGCUUCCUAGCAUCGCCUGAGGACGGGGCCGCGACCGAUCAGGUAGUUGGUGAGGCAACGGCUCACCAAGCCUAUAACCGGUACGGGCCGUGGGAGCGGGAGCCCGGAGAUGGGAACUGAGACAAGGUCCCAGGCCCUACGGGGCGCAGCAGUCGCGAAAACUCGUCAAUGCACGAAAGUGUGAACGGGCUACCCCGAGUGCCGUCCGCUGAGGAUGGCUUUUCUCCGCUGUAAGGAGGCGGAGGAAUAAGGCGAGGGCAAGUCUGGUGUCAGCCGCCGCGGUAAUACCAGCUCGCCGAGUGGUAGGGAUGAUUAUUGGGCUUAAAGCGUCCGUAGCCGGCCUCUCAAGUCUCUCGUUAAAUCCAGCGAUUCAAUCGUUGGACUGCGAGAGAUACUGUUAGGCUAGGGGGCGGGAGAAGCCGACGGUAUUUNCGGNGUAGGGNNANNAUCCUAUAAUCCC
rnacentral:rRNA from 1 species